GUCUAUGUUGAGUAUAUUGCUGAGCCCAGCCCAAGUAUUGCAAGCCCAGUUCAAUAACCGAAUUUUGUUGUAACAGAAUUCCUCUUUUCCAGCUGUAUUAUUUUUAUUCUGUUAUUUCAGUUGUUGACUAUAUAAGUGAAUAAUAGCUGUAAUAAUAAAUGUGUGUAAUAAACUUUCAACUACUCUCUGUGUAAUUCAUUAUUCUCUAUUCAAUAAAAUUGCUUCUGCCUUUCUUUUCUUGAGUUCUUCUCUUCAAUAACUGGAUUUCAAUGGCGUUUUUCCGAAGUUUUGACAUGGUAUCAGAGCUAUGCAUUUGUUUCCCGGAGUUGUGAAUUUUUCGACCGAAAAAUUCAGCUGGUAGUAUAUGAUGAUAAUUUCAUUAGAUGCGAGUAUGGUGAUAAUUUUUGCUAAAAACACGACUGCACAUAAAAAAGGAUUGAAGAUGCAUUUGGUGUUUCGUUGUUCAUUGUUGCAGUUUAUUAUUAUUAUUAUAUUGUAAAAUAACAAUUUAUUUGGAUGAAUGUAUAUUACGAUUCUGGUGUUUUGUUGUUAA